GAUGAAGAACGCAGCGAAAUGCGAUAAGUAGUGUGAAUUGCAGAAUUCCGUGAAUCAUCGAAUCUUUGAACGCACAUUGCGCCUUCUGGUAUUCCGGAAGGCAUGCCUGUUCGAGAGUCAUUAACAACCGUUUCGAUCCCUUUCUUUCAGAAAUUACAAAGAGGAAAAGGGUUUGGUUAUGGUGGAGGAGGGAAAGGGAGCGUUUAGCCGGUAAAAAAAGAGGCUGUGUUCCGCCUCCCCCCCAAAAUUGUACAGGCGGUCGUGUGCGCCCACGCAUCGAGGUGUUGUAAAAGCUGCCACGGCACUUUUCACCUGUGCAGUGCGAGAUUGGCCAGCCGGUUUAAAAACCCCUCCAAACAAUCAAAGGUUGACCUCGGAUCAGGUAGGGAUACCCGCUGAACUUAAGCAUAUCAAUAAGCGGAGGA
rnacentral:misc_RNA from 1 species